GGCUUCACUUGGGACGGCGACGGCUGUUCAGACGGGGACUCCUCAGCGCACGGUACCAGGGGCGACCACCACUUCCUCAGCUGCCACGGAAACUAUGGAAAACGUGAAGAAAUGUAAAAAUUUCCUAUCUACGUUAAUAAAACUGGCUUCAUCUGGCAAGCAGUCUACAGAGACAGCAGCUAAUGUGAAAGAGCUCGUGCAGAAUUUACUGGUGAGAAACCUUGACUUUACAUUCCCUUUCCCCUAAAGCCUGUUGCAUAGGACAGACACCUGUUGCUGCUGUGACCUGUGCCCGGGAGGCCUGUGCCAGCAGGGAGAGCUCCUCUGGAAGGCUGCAGGCGAAGGGGAGGGGUGCACACGUGUCGAAGGCGUGUGUGGCCUAGCUAAGGAGACUCCUUCCUGGGGCUGGGUG
rnacentral:lncRNA from 1 species